CAGGAGCCGCCACCGAUCAAAGACGUCUUUUUCCAGCUCUGAGUUGCUGAUCUGCGUGGCCGGUGUAGUGUAAUACACUACACUAGCAGUGCUGUUUAGCUGUUUUUUUUGGCCACCAGCCAAUCAGCGAGGGGAACUCUGCUCCUGGAGCAGGGGCUGAGCGACCCCACUGGUGCAGCCCCGCCUCCUUCUCCUACCUGCUUCUUGUAGGCAGCAGGCGUGCUUUCUCUGGCUCUGCAGCUGAGCAGCUCUCAGCCUCCCUUCAACCUCUCACCCAACUAAAGGCAGCCAGUAGCAGCAGCUGGAUGACUGUGGCAGCUGGCACCUGGCCCAAGCGGUCCUCCUCCUGAACGACCACAGUGAGGUCUAUGCCAUUGAACCUGUUGGUUCCCACUCUAUUCUGGUAGGGAUCCCGGGAUUUGACAUCAGAAAUCUGGUCAGGUAAUUAUUUCUGUGUUUUGUCCGGACUGAGGACUGUCCUGUCUCUGUGUCUAUUCGUCCUCCUGGAGUGUUUGAGUCUGGGUGCCAUCUCCAUCCGGGGAUCGGCCGACCAAGGGGUUCCUGUCCUCGUGGUCUGAGUGAGUGAAAUCUGCACAAUCGCAGCCGCACCGCACCUUGGGUAAAACCCUUGGUGUGAAAGCAAGGGCGAUUGAGACAGUAGCCUGUGGGCUCCUUUUGUGUGUUGCACUGGGCAUCGCUCUGACGAACCCGAAUUUCCUUCUUGUGUGAUUGGUGUGGUAAAGUCCUCCUGUAUUGAUAACCAGAUGUCUAAGUUGGGACAGUUCCCCAAAGGAAUGCCGGCUCAGUUUUAGGAAGGGUCCGGACUCCUGUAAAUUUCUGGAAAAAUGGUCUAGGCUAACUCAGGGAGAUCCCAAAACUCAGUGGCCACUGUUAAAAUCUUGGAACAAGGACCGAGAGGACAUCUUAAAAGACAAACUCAGCCAAUCUAAAACUAAAUUGGAAAAGGAGAGGUUAAUUGUUUCAUGAAGUGGUGGGAAGAGGCAAAUCGUAGGUGGACAAAAUCAAAGCUCGCCUCUCUCAAAUAUUCAAAUAAUAAGUUAAAAGCUUUAUUAAAAGCCUCCUCUCCCACCGCCAGACCGAGCGCUCCCCUUUACCCCGUUCUCCGAAAAAAACCCCAACAACCCCGGAUCGAUCCCAACCCUGUCCAUACUCCCAUCUCAUUGUAAAAAGGACAAAAAGCCCCUUGUUCUGUUCCCGUUCAUUGAAUGCCUCAGAAACUGAUUCUUUAGUGUUCCACUACCAAUUCAGCAAGGAGGGUGGGCUCCUCAACUCCCCUUCCUGGUCCCUUUCCUUAAACAUUUCUUUCAAAAUUGUGAAAUGACCACAAUAUCACUCACAAAAACGGUUCAUUGGAAAAAGCAGGAUCGGGCCCAGACAAGCAGGCAAGCAACAGAUAAAGAAACUGAAAAACAGGUUGGAAGCCCUAAGGACAUAGUGUCAGGAGUAAGUGCAAGCAUGAACCCCUGGAACAAUACUUAAAAUGGUGAAAUCUGAGUUGAUAAAGGUGUCGUCUUGGGAAAUAAACAAAUGAUUUAAGGAAAGAGAGUGAAAAGUUAACUCUACAGAGGCUGAAAAGAAUUAAGCAGUUAAACCUUGUAAAAAUGUUAAAAAGGACCUUGUUAAAAGAAUUCUUGGUUUCUUUGCAGCCAUUCUGAAGGAAAAAUGGGCCCUUUUCCAAAAGAGUGUCUGUAAAUAAUCCAGAUAAAGAGACUAUCUAAUUAAAAUCAUUUGACUAUGGACAAUUGAGUCAAAUUUGUUAAAAGAACAUAGGGGGGGUUCUAUUGGAACUUAACUGCUCCAAAUGUAUAAAGGUAAUGUAAUUUAUGUACAGCUAUGUAAAAACAAAGCAGUGUAAAAGGGAUGUUAAGUAAACGAAAAUGUGUAUGUAUCCAUCUGUCUGUGGGAAUAUGUGAGGUUUGUAAAACUCCUGUUUUGUAGGUUUAAGAUAAAUUGGUUUUGUUUUGUUUAUAAUGCCACUAAAAAUCCAUUUGACUCUUUAAUUCAAAGUUGCAAAACUGACAGACCUUUUUGCCAGACACAGGUAAUCAGUGGUGGUUGGCUUUGAGAUUUGGUAUUUAACCCUUAAGGGGUAACUUGAUUCUUUACAAAAUUUAAAUGUUUUCAAAUAAAGACCAAGUCAUGACUGCAGCAGGGCAGUCAAAAUCAGAAGAAUAGGGAGGGAUUCUGGAUUCUUUUUUGUUUGUUUGUUUGUUUGUUUUUGUAACAAAAUAGCAGAUGAAAGCUGUAGUAAAAGAAUAAAGACAGUGCCCCUCUGAAGCAACAGCAGGGGUGAGGUGCACAAAACAAAAAGAAGCAAUGUUAGAAACACUGAGCCUUAAAAUGGCUCUGUGUAAUCAGACUGUCACUUUGAUAAGGGUACAUAAAACUCUGUAAGAACAAAAGAAACAGUUACACCUUAUGUAAAACUUAAUAUGGCUAAUGUUUUAAAAGUUAAAGUAUAGAAGGAAUGUGCAGACACGUGCAGUGUAUAUUAUAGAGGGGGUAAAAGAAAUGCAAAGGAAACAUGUUACUUAAUUAAAAUCCUAUUAGGGCUCCAAAGGAGCCACAAUAGACUGUGUUUUCUUUUUCAGCUCUCUGUGUGUUUUGGAAGCAAGAGUUAAAAGUAAUCAAAACUCUGGUAAAAGUUAAUUGUGUUCCUUUUAAGACAGAGUCUCUGAGCUCUGCUGAUGGCUUUGAAUCCAAAAGCCAAGCCUGUGUUGAUGCAAAUUACCUAACUGAUAAAGGAAGUGAGAGAUCUGCCAGCGCAAAUAAGUUGCAAAUAAAGAACAUACCUGGUCAGCAAACAAAUUGUCUAAAUAAAAGGCACGGUAUAACAAAAUACCUUUAAUUAGAAUAAAUUUAAUGUUAAUAAGUACCCCUGUAACAAUGUAUAGUGUGUAUGAUUUUUGGAAAAAUCCUUUAUGGUAAUGAUGCUUUUCAGCUGUUACCUGUAAGCAAACUUAGAGCUUAACACAGCAGGAAAGACAUUGUAAACUUGGUCUGCUGUAAAGGGAAAACUGAGGUACACCACCUCAUGGAUUUAAUGACUGAACAGUGGGAUAAUUUCCCCAUAACUCUUAAAAGAUAGAAACCAUUGAAACCUGGCCUGCCUAUAGAACAAAAACACAGGAAAAUAUGGAGGUAAUUCCUCUUGUUUUGCCUGCAAUCAGCAAGGGUAUUUGUAAAAGAAAGGAAUAUUUUAAGCAAUAAUAAAUGCCACCCCAAAAGGGGUAGAAAAAUGUUAUUUUUGUCUUUCAGAAAAAGCUAAUAUCAGCUACAGGACAACCUAAUAAGAAACAAAUAAAAGUGGGUAUGAUUAUCCAUGCCUGUUGCUCCAAAGCCCUGUAGUAAAGAAUCUCACUAGGAUCCUGUAUGUGGGAUAAAAUGAAUAAUGAGAACAAAGUACUGUAUAAUGGGCUAUGUGUAUGUGUUAAUUCUUGGAGGAAAAGUGUUUUAAAAGAAUGGAAGUGUUAGCAACCUUCCAAUAGACAAAUGUAAAUGUAAUGUAAGUAUUGUGUUUACAAAAGGUAAAAAGAUAACAUAGUUCCUAAAACAAACAAAAAGGCAAUGUGGGAAACUGACCCAUUCAUAUUAUACACGCAAAUGUGAACAUGUUAAGAAUUGCCACUGCAGAAAGACAUAACUGCUUUCCAUUGAUAUAACAUAUUUUCUGAAUGGUCUCCCACAACUAACGGCAUACUAAUGUUACUAACCCUAAUUGCUUUUGGUUUUAAAUUGUAUGUGGGUUUAAUUGGAAUGUUUGAAAUGUGCUGUUGGAUAAAACAAAUGUAUGCAAAGCUAGAGGCACAGGCCCAAAUCUCCUCCCAGUAUUUUCUAUUACAUGGACUAAAUAAGAAGUGACACUGGCGAUUAAUAAUCUUAGUGUCAAAAGGGGGGAUAUGUAGGAGCAGGAUUUUAUAAUGUCCCAUAAGAAUUAAUGUAUGAUUUGAUUUCAUCCUGUCAGCCACCCUUUUUGAAUAGCAGAAAGGAAUGACAGACCAGAACAAUCCUUAUGACUGAUUAUGGUCACCCUUUUGUUUUAGAAUAAGUUAUAAUGUCUACUGUGGUUUCCUAUAUAUAUUACGAAGUAGGCAGUCUAGUUAAAUAUACAUUUCUUUAUUUUAAGGUUUAGUAAGUAAGAAACAGGAUUCUCUAUUGUGUCUGUUAAGUAGAUUAGAGGAACAUUGAAGGCCUGGGUCUCAAUGUAAAUUGUCUUGGUUAUUGAUUGUAAAACUUAGCAAGGUUUAAUUUGCAAUGCCUUUUUGCUCGAUAUAAAAUACUACUGUUUGUAUUCUCAA